UACAGAGGUCCCAAGCGUUAAUCGGAAUUACUGGGCGUAAAGCGUGCGCAGGCGGUUUUGUAAGUCUGUCGUGAAAUCCCCGGGCUCAACCUGGGAAUUGCGAUGGAGACUGCAAGGCUAGAAUCUGGCAGAGGGGGGUAGAAUUCCACGUGUAGCAGUGAAAUGCGUAGAGAUGUGGAGGAACACCGAUGGCGAAGGCAGCCCCCUGGGUCAAGAUUGACGCUCAUGCACGAAAGCGUGGGGAGCAAACAGG
rnacentral:rRNA from 1 species